UCUUGCAACAACGGAGGCUGUGCCAUACUCCAAGCACCCACCCCGUGGGCAGGCAGGAAGCCGGUGAGAGUCCGGCGCGGUCGCGCCACUGUGAUGCGGAUCCUUCAGGGUCCGUCAGCCAGGAACUGCCACCCCGGGGAUCGCUUUG
rnacentral:ncRNA from 2 species